ACGGGAGGCAGCAGUGGGGAAUAUUGGACAAUGGGGGAAACCCUGAUCCAGCGACGCCGCGUGAGUGAUGAAGUAUUUCGGUAUGUAAAGCUCUAUCAGCAGGGACGAUAAUGACGGUACCUGCCUAAGAAGCCCCGGCUAACUACGUGCCAGCAGCCGCGGUAAUACGUAGGGGGCAAGCGUUAUCCGGAUUUACUGGGUGUAAAGGGAGCGUAGACGGCAUGGCAAGUCAGAUGUGAAAACCCGGGGCUCAACCCCGGGACUGCAUUGGAAACUGUCAAGCUAGAGUGCAGGAGAGGUAAGUGGAAUUCCUAGUGUAGCGGUGAAAUGCGUAGAUAUUAGGAGGAACACCAGUGGCGAAGGCGGCUUACUGGACUGUAACUGACGCUGAGGCUCGAAAGCGUGGGGAGCAAACAGGAUUAGAUACCCUGGUA
rnacentral:rRNA from 1 species